rnacentral:rRNA from 1 species
GAUAUAAGCGAAGAGGUCUGGAAAGGCCCGCCAAAGAAGGUAACAGCCCUGUAACUGAAAUGUUGUUCUCUCCAGAGUGGAUCCUGAGUACGGCGGAACACGUGAAAUUCCGUCGGAAUCCGGGAGGACCAUCUCCCAAGGCUAAAUACUCCCUAGUGACCGAUAGUGAACCAGUACCGUGAGGGAAAGGUGAAAAGCACCCCGGAAGGGGAGUGAAAUAGAUCCUGAAACCGUGUGCCUACAAGUAGUCAGAGCCCGUUAACGGGUGAUGGCGUGCCUUUUGUAGAAUGAACCGGCGAGUUACGAUACCGUGCAAGGUUAAGCAGAAGAUGCGGAGCCGCAGCGAAAGCGAGUCUGAAUAGGGCGCAUGAGUACGUGGUCGUAGACCCGAAACCAGGUGAUCUACCCAUGUCCAGGGUGAAGUUCAGGUAACACUGAAUGGAGGCCCGAACCCACGCACGUUGAAAAGUGCGGGGAUGAGGUGUGGG